CGACCUUGUGCCAGUGGCGCGUCCUGCCUUGCGUGGUACCGCUGCUGUGUGUGCUUGCGCGCCAUGGAGCCUUCGUGCCCUUGGUGCGCGCAGCUCUUAAGCUGCUCCCAUGUUGCGCAAUUCGMUAAGCACCCUCAGUGCUCGUAUAUGCGCUGCAACGGGAAGCGCUUGGUCAAUGAAGCGCCUUCGCGCUCAUCCAAGAMAUGAAGUCAGGMCMGCYAACCCGCUGAAUUUAAGCAUAUAAGUAAGCCGAGGACAAGAAACUAAAUAGGAUUCCUUCAGUAAUGGCGAAUGAACARGGAUWAGCUCAGCAUGGAAAUCGGGGUCCUGGGCCCUGAAUUGUARGCUGGAGAGGUAUUACCAGCGGAGGCGCAGAUGUAAGCCUUUUGGAAAAGAGCAUCAACSAGGGUGAGAGUCCCGCUUGUCAUCUGCAGUCCCCCGCGUACGGUCUGCCUUCCMAGAGUCACGUUCCUCGAGAUUGGAGCGCAAACUGGGUGGUAAAUUUCAUCUAAAGCUAAACAUUGGUUCGAGACCGAUAGCAAACAAGUACCAUGARGGAAAGGUGAAAAGGACUUUGAAAAGAGAGUUAAAAGUGCCUGAAAUUGCUGAAAGGGAAGCGAAUGGAGCCAGUGUGUUAGAGCGAGAUUGUUGCGUGCCAUUGCGAUGGCUUCCUGCUUCAGCGCAAGCGUGGUAGGGAGUUUUGAGCAGGACGCGCGCAGUGCUUCGUGCUCUACGUGUCAUAUGCGGCCCACAUUUGGGGAAAACUCUGGGGACAUGGUARCCUGCCCUUGGGUGGGUGAACGUGCUCAGUUGUACCCACUUGGGUGCCGAUUGAUGACUAAAUGGUYCCUUUCGACCCGUCUUGAAACACGGACCAAGGAG
rnacentral:sRNA from 1 species